rnacentral:rRNA from 1 species
UGGGGAAUAUUGCACAAUGGGCGCAAGCCUGAUGCAGCCAUGCCGCGUGUAUGAAGAAGGCCUUCGGGUUGUAAAGUACUUUCAGCGGGGAGGAAGGGAGUAAAGUUAAUACCUUUGCUCAUUGACGUUACCCGCAGAAGAAGCACCGGCUAACUCCGUGCCAGCAGCCGCGGUAAUACGGAGGGUGCAAGCGUUAAUCGGAAUUACUGGGCGUAAAGCGCACGCAGGCGGUUUGUUAAGUCAGAUGUGCAAUCCCCGGGCUCAACCUGGGAACUGCAUCUGAUACUGGCAAGCUUGAGUCUCGUAGAGGGGGGUAGAAGUCCAGGUGUAGCGAUGAAGUGCGUAGAGAUCUGGAAGAAUACCGGUGGCGAAGGCUGCCCCCUGGACGAAGACUGACGCUCAGGUGCGAAAGCGUGGGGAGCAAACAGG